GACGAACGCUGGCGGCGUGCUUAACACAUGCAAGUCGAACGGAAAGGCCCUGCUUUUGUGGGGUGCUCGAGUGGCGAACGGGUGAGUAACACGUGAGUAACCUGCCCUUGACUUUGGGAUAACUUCAGGAAACUGGGGCUAAUACCGGAUAGGAGCUCCUGCUGCAUGGUGGGGGUUGGAAAGUUUCGGCGGUUGGGGAUGGACUCGCGGCUUAUCAGCUUGUUGGUGGGGUAGUGGCUUACCAAGGCUUUGACGGGUAGCCGGCCUGGGAGGGUGACCGGCCACAUGGGGACUGAGAUACGGCCCAGACUCCUACGGGAGGCAGCAGUGGGGAUUAUUGCACAAUGGGCGGAAGCCGGAUGCAGCAACGCCGCGUGCGGGAUGACGGCCUUCGGUUUUUAAACCGCUUUCGCCUGUGACGAAGCGUGAGUGACGGUAAUGGGUAAAGAAGCACCGGCUAACUACGUG
rnacentral:rRNA from 1 species